AUACGGAGGGUGCAAGCGUUAUUCGGAAUCACUGGGCGUAAAGGACGCGUAGGCGGGUUUGUAAGUCAGGUGUGAAAUCCUACAGCUUAACUGUAGAACUGCACUUGAAACUACAGACCUAGAGUAUGGGAGGGGCAGAUGGAAUUAGUGGUGUAGGGGUAAAAUCCGUAGAUAUCACUAGGAAUACCGAAAGCGAAGGCGAUCUGCUGGAACAUAACUGACGCUAAGGCGUGAAAGCGUGGGGAGCAAACAGAAUUAGAAACCCUAGUAGUCC
rnacentral:rRNA from 1 species